rnacentral:rRNA from 1 species
GUAGGUGAACCUGCGGAAGGAUCAUUUAUAAUUCUAAAUGUUCUUCUUGAAUUAUUGUACAAAAAGAAGGAAACUUCUUUUGUUUGCCUAUUCAUAGGUUUAAUGUUAACUAACUUCCUAGAAAUCUUGAAUUUUCAACGAUGGAUAUCUAGGCUCCUAUAACGAUGAAGAACGCAGCGAAAUGCGAUACGCAAUGCGAAUUGCAGAACCGUGAGUCAUCAGAUUUUUGAACGCAAGUGGCGGCAGCUUCGGCUGUCAUGUUUGUUUCAGUGUGUUCGGUUAAUUACAUCGUAGAACUUAAUGUGAUUGAAGGAAUUCUCUCACUGAGUACGAGCCUGUGUCAGUGCGAUCAUUACACGAACUAGUCACUAAUUUGGUGAUAAUCGUGAAAGUGCUCAAGCUGUAGAAUCGCAGGUUAAUAUCUAACUAUCCAAUCAUAACACCUGAAAUAAGCAAGAUUACCCGCUGAACUUAAGCAUAUCAG